rnacentral:tRNA from 1 species
GCGUCGUUAGCUCAGCUGGAUAGAGCAACAGCCUUCUAAGCUGUGGGUCAGAGGUUCGACUCCUCUACGAUGCGCCA